UCCUGGUUAACCCAGGCAGUCUCGUCUGAGAAAUACAACAGACGACGAGGGUUGCGCUCGUUGCGGGACUUAACCCAACAUCUCACGACACGAGCUGACGACGGCCAUGCAGCGCCUGUCACCGAUCCAGCAAACUGACUCUCUGGUUUCCCAGAGAUACGAUCGGGAUGUCAAGCCCUGGUAAGGUUCUCCGCUUAUCGUCGAAUUAAACCACACGCUCCACCGCUUGUGCGGGUCCCCGUCAAUUCCUUUGAGUUUUAAGCUUGCGCUCGUACUCCCCAGGCGGGGUGCUUAACGCGUUAGCUUCGAUACCCAGAGGAUCUAUGCUCCAGAUACCUAGCACCCAUCGUUUACGGCGUGGACUA
rnacentral:misc_RNA from 1 species